CGUUUGCGGGGAGACGAAGUUAUUUUCUAGGGUUUUCCAUUGAGAAGAUCUGGUUUCAGAGAUUUGAUCAACGAAGGUUAUUCAGAUAUAUACGAUGUCCAUGGCGUACCUUAACCUGUAAGAUAUUUUGCUUCUCUCAUUUCGAUGGCUAAUUUUUCGUUCGCCUCUGCUUUUUCUCGGUAUUUUCUGGUACAAAAGUUUUAUGCGAUUAUUGAAAUUGAAGUCUUAGAGAUUAAGAUGCAAUUCAUGAAAUUUCAGUCGUCUUUGGCUUUUAUAUAUGAAUUCAUUAGUCUUUCAUAUGCAGCUUGAUUUCUCUUAAUUUCUCGGUUGAUUUGAUUUUGGGAUGGCUUGAAGAACCCUAGGGUUACAAAAGAUUGGCCUCCUAGUGUCAAUUUGUUAAUGGGGCUCUUCACAGGAACCCCUGGGUUGCAAAAAAGUAAUACUCUGUCAACUCCGGUAUUGUCUCUCUUCUCUCUAUGGAUAUUUGGUGUGUAAUUGGAGCUUCAGCUUUUUAUGCAUCAAAAUCGUAGUUUUCUAUGUUAGUUUUUUGUGUACUGCUUAGAUUGUAGUUGGUACUUGGACUACUUGACUUAAAUUGGUCUUGAAUUGCUUAGUUCAUUCACAUAUCAUAGGGUUUUUAGUUUGAUUCAUUUGAAGAUUAUGGCCUUAAUGCUCUUCAAUGCGCUACCAUGUAUAUUUUGAUUUUGAGAGUUGUUAUAUGUUGCUCUUCAAUGUGCAGUUCUUGUCAAAUUUGACUAAAGCAGUACUCGGAAUUCAUGGUAUGCAACAGAUACACCCCUUACGGAAGAACGAAUUAGUUUUGCAUGUUAUGAUGCCGUAAUUUGAAGUUUCUGUGCAAGGGGAGGCAUGAAGGAAUGGUCUUGGCCAAUUUUUGUGCAUCAGCUCUUUUUGGAUUACGAUGAUCAUUUUCUCAAGGAUAUCCAAGUCAAGGUACUUAUUUUUACGCUUCCUUAUUUGUGAAAGACAAGCAUAGACUUGCUGAGAUUGAGUUUGGUAUGCUACAAUAGCUAUUAAAAGGCAUAGAAUAUGAAGAUGUGACUGAUUUUCUCUUUAGUUUCCCUGGUUUUUUAUUCUUUCCUAGAAGUCGAUUCAAUAUCUUACAAAGUAUACUUUUGUACUUGGAGGAUAAUAUACAACUUCAAGGAUUUGUGUCUCUAGUAUGUUUAGUUGUUGGUAUUAGAAAUCUACUUCAAUUCUUGGCAACGAUAAUAAAACUCCUUAAAUUUCCUUUUCUGGAUGAGCGAGUGUUUCUUAUUGUAUAUCCUUGUUUGUCAAUUCAGGUAUCAAAGGAUGAAGACAGUGAGUGCAGGGAGGAUUUAGAUAGCGAUCGCAGAGAGGAUUUCGUGGGUGUUACAUUUUUUUAGCUUCAGUGACUUGUACAUAUGGUUGAUCGACUAUUUCUCUCUGUCUUGUAACUUAGUAGGAUUCGCAGGAUCUUGUAUUUAUAAAUUUGAUCCAAGUAUUUGUAUGCUUAAAUUGGCAAUUUUAUAUGUUUAAGAAGUUGAAUUCUUAGUUU